GACGUUCUUCAGUUCUCCAACGAUCGUUUUUCACGCGUCGCCUCCCGGUGGCAUCGCGAGGCCCGGGCUAUCGCGCACGUGUUGACUCAACCGCGGCGCCCACGAGUUUAUUUUACAUCCGACGUUAUUCUUUGUUCCGUCUCAUUCUCUCCCAUCUCCAUCGUCGUACGCACGCACCGCGUGUUCGUCCGCUUAUCUGUCCGGGGCAUUUAAAAUAGCCAAGCAAAGUUCGUUUGAAAUCGGCGUCGUUAUCUCGAGCGCGCGGUUCGUCGGAUUCUAAAAUUCAGACGAGGCGGGGAGGGCCGGCGAUCGUCGAACGUGUGUCUUCCCGGAUCGAUCGACGACACGGCUGUUCGAUACUCGUCGGAAUUUUAAUUGCGAUUCCGAACGUCUGGCGAUUUUGAUUUUUUCCUCUCGCGCUUCUCGGUUCGACUCGCGGAACUUUAUCCCGUUUUCAAGAGGACGACUCUGCUCCUCUUGCUAGCUUUGUGCCGUAUAACGAAGAGCAUAAUUAAGACGAAAAGAGCGACGUCGGGGUCGGUAGACCGUAGGCGAAUCCGCCGGUCGGACCGGUUGCUAAAAGAUGAUGCACGGAGGAAGGAGGAGAGGAAAAGGUUGAAAAAAAAGUCGAGGUGACGCAACGCGGGAGUGUACGCGAGAACCUGCACGUCAGGUGGGUACAUUUUAGGCGAAAUUUCAACGGAGUUGUCGGAGUUGCGAGGAAUCGUCGCAGUUCAAAUACGAGAAAAGCAAACACUCCGGCGUCUAAUCUCCUCGCGAGCUCGGUGUGUACGGUAGACGACGGUUCGCCUUAUAAGAAAGUCGGCCGCGGCGCGUCGCGCGAUUACACGUACGUACGUACGGCUACUCGAAUCCUUCGGGUACGUAAGUUUCCGCGAAUGAGGUGUGAAUGCGACGCGCACGGGCGUGGCUCGGGGAGCGCGAGGUAUAAACCGUUGGGAUCUAGGAUAAACCGCAAAAAACGUCACGACCCUCGAGAAGAUAAACCUCGUUAAUAAAGCAGCGACCGGAAAACCACAUUUCAACUAAUGACUAAUUUCAAUGUCGUCGUUCCUUCUUAUAUAGUCUGGGGAUUUUCGCUCCGUCUUGUUAAACAAGUUUGAAACUCCCUCGGUUAAGGAUCUCUCCUCCGCGUUUAUCCGGCUGCGGCAGCGGCUGAUCCUUUCUUCAUUUUUAUUACCGAGUUCGCUCGCCGAAUCGCUGCUUCCAAAUUUACCGCGUCGGUAGAAAAAACAAAAAAUAAAUAAUAAUAACGAAAAUAGCGGGGAGAAAAAAAGCAAGUUUAAAAUGAAAAUAUUACGUGCCGGUCCUCUUUACGUGAUCCUCAUUUUACUCGCUCUGAUUUACUGUGUCUCUGCCCGUCCGAUGUGGUUUCCGGAACGACGCGGUUCCCAUAUUUCCUGUCCGAAUGGCUAUAGACUUAUCGGAAAUAGGACCUGCAGAAAGAUACUCGACUAGUCGCAGAUGUGGAAGUAAGUCAGGAUGGUCCGCGCCCGACCACGUCGCCUGGAAGACCUCUUAAAAAAAAAAAAAAACCUCGCAAGUAUCGAGAAGAACGAGCUACCGACGCGAUCAUCCUUUUCCGGCCAUCUGAAGAGCGACGUGUAUAGCGAUACUUGCGAUCCGAUCGACGCAUCCGAGCUUCAUCGUGCGGAUUAUUACGUCAAUCGCAUCCGGACGAGACCUUUUCAAUUUUUCAAUCGACGACACGGGGAUUAUCCGACGGCGCAGUACAUGACAAAAUCAUUAAUUAUUGUGAAUAAAUAUGAAUAAAAAUAUAUGAAUUUUCCAAAGGUA